rnacentral:lncRNA from 1 species
UCCAUCAUGUUCCAUCACAAGUAAUUGGAUAUAGUUCCCUCAUGCAGGACCUCAUUGCUUAUCCACGCCAAAUGCAAUAGUUUGCAUCCACUAACCUCAAACUCCCUGUCCCUCCCCCUCGGCAACUACAAGUCUGUUGUCUUUGUCCAUGAGUUUGUUUCUGUUCUGUAGAUAGGUUCAUUUGUGCCAUAUUUUAGAUUUCACAUAUAAGUGAUAUAUAUUUUUUUUGUCUUUCUUUUUCUGACUUAUUUCACCUAAGUCAUGAGAAUCUCUAGUUCCAUCCAUGUUGCUGCAAAUGGCACUAUUUUGUUCUUUUUUAGGGCCGAGUAGUAUUCCAUUGCAUAUAGGUACCACAUGUUCAUUUUUCUAAGCUGAUGCUCCAUCAGGCUGUCUAUCCUCAGAAAGGAGAGGUGGCAACACGCUGGAGGACCCUGGAAGAGACUCGCUGGAGACAGAGACCCAGGCGUUGAGGAGGAGGGUGGUGUGGAGGGUGAGAACCAAGAGGAGAGGGAAGGGGCAGCCAGGUGGGGGUCGAGCCUGGGCAAAGUCAGGGUGGCAGGGCCCCAGUGGGAUGUGGGAGGUGAUGAGCCCCCUCUUCAACCUCAUGUCACCCUUGCUCUACUUGCAAGGACCCAUGAAGAGGACAGACAAGAGAGGGCCCUUUAUGUAACCCCACAAGCUUAGCUUGCAACAUCGAGGCCAAAACGGAGGCCUGCGGUAGCAGGAAUACUGACAAGUUUCUCCUCCCUGAGAGCCUGGUGUUGCUUGACUCUCCUAAAGCCCCUUCUUAAUGGAAAUGCCCUCCACCUGGUGGCCCUCCGCAGGCUCCUCGGCUCUGGGCAUUUCUGACCAAGCAUUUGUCACAGCAGUGAAGACACCUCAGUUGCUGGUUGGUCGUGUUGGGGGUGGGAGUAGAGGCUGCACAGGAAACUCAAGCAAAUUUUUCAGUUUCUCAGGUGACUUCCUAGUGACCUAGAUGAGUCAUUAGGUGUCUCUGCGUCUCCUUUGGGUUCUGCAAAAGGGGCCGGUAAUAUUCUAGAGCGCUUACCGCCAAAGGACAGAGUUCCUGCCUGACAUCUUUGAACGCGUCAGAGAGAGGGACCCUGAAACAAGUCACAAAUGGUCUCGGUUUGACAACAUGAAGCGACUAGGUUUUAAAAUUAUUUCCCUUCUGGUUAAAAUUGUUAACAUAGCUGUUUUUUGUUUUGAAAAUGAAUUAUUUUCUGGUAGGAAAUAGGGGUCCUACCCUUUCACACAUGGCAGGCAUUUUCCCAUAUUCUCUCAAAAGAAAACUUUUUUUUCCAACGCCCAUUCUUCAGAGAACUCUCCAGAAGCUGCUCUGGUACCUGAACCUAUCUUAAUAUCGGCAACACACUUUUUCUGAAAUGCUUGUUCCUGAAGUUCCCCUGUCCCUUCUCCUUGGGGCUGCCAAUCCCCUGCUUCAGCCUAUUUUCUGAGUAAAACAAACCUCAAGCAAUGUGUCUUUCUUGACCCUUCCCCACUCCCACGCCUCCAAAGUAUGCUGUCCCACCCAGGUAGAAAGGGGACAUUUCCUAUAAGACCUUUGCAGACUGUGAAUAAAGUCAGAAGGUGCUUUCAGGGAACAACAGUUGGUUCCUGAACUAUUUGGAGUUCCUGUCCUGGCUCAGUGGUAACGAACUGGCGUAGUAUCCGUGAGGAUGCAGGUUCAAUCCCUGGCCUCGCUCAGUGGGUUAAGGAUCCAGUAUUGCCGUGAGCUGUGGUGUAGGUCGCAGGAGCAACUGGAUCUGGCAUUGCAGUGGCUGUGGUGUAGGCUGGCAGCUACAGGUCCAAUUUGACCCCUAGCCUGGGAACCUCCAAAUGCCAUGGUUGAGGCCCUCAAAAGACAAGAUAAAUACAUAAAUAACUUUUGACACACUGGAAGAGUAAGCUGGACACCCCCCUGGAUGGCACAGACUUCCCUCUUCAUGCACAAACAUCCUUUUAACUUCCUGAAUCUUUCCCUUCCCCUCUGUUCUCCCGAUAACACUGAAUGAUGCCAGAGAAAGAAAGAAGGAACUCAGGUGGGAAAAUAAACCCUGCAUCCCAAAGGCGACUGAAAUGAUGCAUAUCCUUACAGCGACAUUAAGAGCAGAAAGCUCUGGGGAGUUCCCGUAGUGGCUCAGUGGUAAAGAACCCCCAACAGGCCUGUGCUCCAUCUUUGGCCUUGCUCAGUGGGUUAAGGAUCCAGCGUUGCCUUGAGCUGUGCUGUAGGCUGAAGACGUGGUUGAGAUCCAGCAAGGCUGUGGCUGUGGCGUAGGCCAGCAGCUGCAGUUCCAAUUGAGCCCUAGCCUGGGAACUUCCAUCUGCUGCUGGCCUGGCCUUAACAAGACGAAAAAAAAAUAAAUAAAUAAAAGGAGAAAGCUCUGGCCAGGCUUUACCGGUGAGAGCUGUGUUUGGCUGUACAGUACGGGAGAUCUAACUGCAGUGGCUCAAGCAGCCGGGCGUUGGGCCAGCGCUUGCGAGGGGUAGUUCUGGAGUGAGUGGGCCAGGACUCGUAUUAAGGGGCCGGGAGGCUCCUGUGUUCGGGUUCCACCCUGAGGCGGCCCACCCUUCAGGUCUGUCCAGGCAGGAAGCAGAUGGGAGGGGCCUCCAACCCUUCUCCUUGUGGGGCUCCAUCUUUCUAUUCAGGAAAGGAAGCCCCUUUCUGCAAACUCCCCCUUAUGGGUCUCGUGUGCCAGAACCAUUCUCACCUGGCUGGAAGGUGCACUGGACAGUGGACUUUUCCUUGUCAGCCUGCAGAGGGGAAGGUGGUUGGCAAUGAAUGGCCAUCCGGGGAGCCCAGAGCCGCAUCUGCCAUGGCAGACUGUCCCCAGGCAGAUACCCCGGUCUUUCCGGGGGACGCCUUGUCUCCUAUGUUCCCUGUGUCACCAGUGCUUUGAAAAUACAUGAGUUCUUCCUUUAGUCCUUCUUGGAAGUUGUAAGUGGAUUCUGGGUGUUGUGGGUGUGAUAAUUUUUCUUUUUCUUUCUUCGCUUUAUAAUGAAGGCCCCUUCAAGUAAAGUUCUCGUAAUUUUUUUAAUUGAAGUAUAGCUGAUUUACAAUGUUGGAUGUUAGUUCCAGGUGUACAACAGAUGUGUUUAUACUCUUUUUCAGUUUCUUUUUCAUUAUAGGGUAUUACAAGGGGUUGACUGUAUGUCCCUGUCCUGUACGGCAGGUCCUCGUUGUUGAUCUGUUUUAUAUCCAGUAGUAUGAAUCUGUUAACCCCAAGCUCCUACUUUACCCCUUCCCGUAUGCUUUAUUCUUUUUUCAUUUUUUAAAGUUUUACUGGCGUCUGGUUGAUUUACAAGGUGGUGAUCAUUGCUGCUGUACAGCAAAGAGAGUCAGUCAUACACGUACACACAUCCAUUCUUGUGCAGAAUCUCUUCCCCCGUAGGUGAUCACAGCAUCCUGGGUAGAGGUCUCUGUGCUAUACAGCAAGUCCCCAUUGGCCAGUCAUUCCAUACACCACCAUGUGCAUGUGCCAUGCCCUCCUCCCUCCCUCCCCCGACCUGUCCCCUUUGGUAACCGUAAGUUUGUUUGUUUCCAAAGUCUGCCUACCCUUUAUGCUUGAUUUUCUGAAAGCAAAACAGGGAGGAGAUGGGAUGGGGCAGGGCAGGGGGCUGGUUAAAGGGGAGUCGGGGUCACAUCUAUUUUCACGAUCAAAACUCAGAAGCACACUUACCUCUCAUAGUGUUAGAAAAGAAAAACAGCCAGCUUUGUAUGGAUGGGAGUGUUGCUUGUAUCAAAGCCACUGCACUUGGCCCUGGGGUUGAUGGAUCUCUUUGUAACUGGAAAUAGUUUCCUUUUUGCUCUUCCUCACUCCUUUGAAUUCUCAAAACCCCACGGCCCAACAGCCCUACAUCUUUUUCAAAAGAGAAUUCUUUUCUACAAAAUUUCUUGAGGGAAAUUUUCUUUCAAGUCACCCUCCUUAAAUUUACCUAAAGAUGUUUCUAUCUUUGAUGGAAAUACGACCACCAGAUAAUACUCCUCUAUCUAGGAGAGAGAGCACUUAUUCAUACCUUAUAGUCCUGCAAGUUACAGAUUACUUUUGCUUUGUAAUUACUGGCCCUAUCUGCUUCUUGAGUCUAGAUACAAAUCUACCUCCCUAGAAGCCAAUGC